CAUAUCGCGCAAAUUUUGUAUUUGGUGAUUGAGUCAAGUCUACAUAGCAUUAUGUUUAUCUUUGUUAAAGGGUCGAGUUUCAACUAUUCAAAAACCAUUACAAAGAUUUCAAUGGCCAUUACAAGUUAUGUCCAAAUAUCCAUUCAAGCUUCAAAGUUCACAUUUAAAGCUCAUAAGGAUGGCAUACAAAGUACAAUUACAUCAUUACAAGAAAUUACACAUAACAUUUUCAUUCAAAAGUUACUUCAUGCGAAACUCCAAAUUCUAGCAAAAGGAUUCGAGCACGUCAUGUAUAAGGCUAUAAACUUGUUGCUUCUAUGUUGA